AACGAACGCUGGCGGCAGGCCUAACACAUGCAAGUCGAGCGAGGACUUCGGUUCUAGCGGUGGACGGGUGAGUAACGCGUGGGAAUGUGCCCUUCUCUACGGAAUAGCCCUGGGAAACUGGGAGUAAUACCGUAUACGCCCUAUUGGGGAAAGAUUUAUCGGAGAAGGAUCAGCCCGCGUUGGAUUAGGUAGUUGGUGGGGUAAUGGCCUACCAAGCCGACGAUCCAUAGCUGGUUUGAGAGGAUGAUCAGCCACACUGGGACUGAGACACGGCCCAGACUCCUACGGGAGGCAGCAGUGGGGAAUCUUAGACAAUGGGGGCAACCCUGAUCUAGCCAUGCCGCGUGAGUGAUGAAGGCCUUAGGGUUGUAAAGCUCUUUCAGCUGGGAAGAUAAUGACGGUACCAGCAGAAGAAGCCCCGGCUAACUCCGUG
rnacentral:rRNA from 1 species